UCCGCUCCGCCCGCGGGAGCGAGGGGGCUGCUCUGGCUGCCCUUUGGAGCUGCGAGCGCUCCGCUCCCGCCGCCAUUGCUUCUUCCUCCUGGGCUCCGUGCUUCCCGGGCAGGGCUGCGGCUCCCGCCGGGGGGGCCGGGUUCGGGGAGCGAUGACGGCGGUGCGGAGAGAGGCGUUCGGGCGGAUGGCCGCGGAGGAGGGAGGCGGAGAGGUGGAGAAGUUCGUCUUACAGUCGGACAGCGUGAGAGUGGAGAUCCUGUCCUUUGGGUGCAUCAUCACCACUCUGGAGACAAAAGACAGGGAUGGGCAGUUUUCAGAUGUUGUCCUAGGAUUUGACACUUUAGAAGGUUACACGAGGAAGCACCCGUUCUUCGGUGCUGUCGUGGGCCGUGUUGCCAACAGGAUUGCAAACGGGAGGUUCAGCCUGGACGGGAAGGAGUAUCAGCUGUUCCUCAAUAAUGGGCCCAACAGCCUGCAUGGAGGAGCCAAGGGAUUUGACAAGGUUCUCUGGAGCGCCCAGGUGCUCCCAAAUGGUGUCCGCUUCUUCCGGCUCAGCCCCGAUGGUGAGGAAGGCUACCCUGGUGACCUGAAGGUCUGGGUGACCUACACCCUUAGUGGCAGGGAGCUGGCCAUCAACUACCAGGCCCAGAGCAGCAAGACAACCCCCAUCAGCCUGACUAACCACGCGUACUUCAACCUGGCAGGGCAGGGCUCCCUGGAUGUCUAUGACCACGAGAUCUCCAUUGAAGCAGAUUCCUACCUGCCUGUGGAUGACACCCAGAUCCCUACUGGGGAGGUGGCUGCCGUGCAGGGCACUGGCUUUGAUCUCCGGCAGCCUGUGGAGCUGGGCAAGCACUUGCAGAAGUUUCACCUGGAUGGCUUUGACCACAACUUCUGCCUGCAUCAGGGGCAGGAUCGACGCCUCGUGGCCAGGGUUUUCCACCCGCCCUCUGGCAGGACCAUGGAGGUUCACACCACCCAGCCUGGCAUCCAGUUUUACACCGGAAACAACCUGGAUGGCUCCCUGAAGGGCAAAGGUGCUGCCACGUACUCCAGGCACUCGGCUUUCUGCCUGGAAACCCAGAACUGGCCCGAUGCCGUUAACAAGCCUCAUUUCCCCAACGUCCUGCUCCAUCCGGGUGAGGAAUACAACCACACCACGUGGCUUGUGUUCAGCACUGCUUGAGGAGAAGGGCUGCUGACUCCCAGCACUGAGAGGGGGUCUGCUGACUGUAGCUGUUUCUGGCUCACCACUGACAGUGGACAGGGAUAAGCCAUGAUGAAGUCACGUUGGAACAACCAGCACAAAGAUUCAACAGGGUUUAGCCACAGAAACACACUGCUAUACUGCCUUGGGCAACCUUCUUCCCUCUUUACCAGCUUCUGGACUAUUUGUGAAGCUGACCGUGACCGGCGGGGAGACACAGACCUGGACCUUCGAGGAGACACGGACCUGGAUCUACGAUAGGAAGCUGACCUGGACCUACAAAGAAAGCAAUUCCGAGAGUUGUUCAAGUAUAGCUUUUUCUGGGCAAAAGAAGGCAACAGGAAUAAAAGACAAACUCAAACACACCUCCUACCACGGCUGCGGCUGCGUGACCGGGAAUACCUUCUUCCUCGGGACCUCGAGCGGGAUCUGGACCGGGACCUGGGUUUAGGUUAGAAAAAACAGGUAUCAGCAGACAGCUGCAGCAACCCACACCUGUGAGGCCCUGCUGAAGUCAAAACUUUUUUCAGACAACUAAAGAACUAGCAUCUGUCAGUUGGAAAAAUGUCUGGGCCUACUUGUCUUGAGCAUUUUUACUACCUAGAAAAAUGUUAAAAGCUGAAUUACAUUGCAGAAUUACAUUAGAAUAGAAAACACUGUAAUGCGUAUUUAAAAUAAACCUUGCAAGUUUGCAGGUC